GUGCCCACUUGGGCAGCACAGAUACUGAAACUGGAAGGAUACAAAGAAGAUUAGCAUGACCCCUGCACAAGGAUGACACCCAAAUUCAUGAAGCAUUCCAUAUUUUU